UACGGGGGGAGCAAGCGUUGUUCGGAUUUACUGGGCGUAAAGGGCGGGUAGGCGGCCACCGCAAGUCAGUUGUUGAAAUCUCUGGGCUUAACCCAGAAAGGUCAACUGAUACUGCGGGGCUAGAGUGCAGAAGGGGCAACUGGAAUUCUCGGUGUAGCGGUGAAAUGCGUAGAUAUCGGGAGGAACACCGGUGGCGAAAGCGACCAUCUGGGGCAUUGCUGACGCUGAGGUUCGAAAGCUCGGGGAGCAAACAGG
rnacentral:rRNA from 1 species